GAUGAACGCUGGCGGCGUGCCUAAUACAUGCAAGUCGAGCGAACAGACGAGGAGCUUGCUCCUUCGACGUUAGCGGCGGACGGGUGAGUAACACGUAGGUAACCUACCUAUAAGACUGGGAUAACUUCGGGAAACCGGAGCUAAUACCGGAUAAUAUUUCGAACCGCAUGGUUCGAUAGUGAAAGAUGGCUUUGCUAUCACUUAUAGAUGGACCUGCGCCGUAUUAGCUAGUUGGUAAGGUAACGGCUUACCAAGGCAACGAUACGUAGCCGACCUGAGAGGGUGAUCGGCCACACUGGAACUGAGACACGGUCCAGACUCCUACGGGAGGCAGCAGUAGGGAAUCUUCCGCAAAGGGCGAAAGCCUGACGGAGCAACGCCGCGUGAGUGAUGAAGGCCUUCGGAUCGUAAAACUCUGUUAUUAGGGAAGAACAAACGUGUAAGUAACUGUGCACGUCUUGACGGUACCUAAUCAGAAAGCCACGGCUAACUACGUG
rnacentral:rRNA from 1 species